rnacentral:rRNA from 1 species
CCUACGGGUGGCAGCAGUGAGGAAUAUUGGUCAAUGGCCGGAAGGCUGAACCAGCCAUGCCGCGUGAAGGUCAGUGCCCUAUGGGCUUUAAACUUCUUUUGUGCGGGAGCAAUAAUGGUCACGUGUGGCCAGACGAGAGUACCGUACGAAUAAGCAUCAGCUAACUCCGUGCCAGCAGCCGCGGUCAUACGGGGGAUGCAAGCGUUAGCCGGAUUUGUUGGGUUUAAAGGGUUCGUAGGCUGUGAGGUAAGUCAGCGGUGAAAUGCCCCCGCUCAACGGGGUGAAGUGCCAUUGAUACUGCCUUGCUGGAAUGCGGAUGCCGUGGGAGGAAUGUGUGGUGUAGCGGUGAAAUGCAUAGAUAUCACACAGAACACCGAUUGCGAAGGCAUCUCACGAAUCCGCGAUUGACGCUGAUGCACGAAAGCGUGGGUAUCAAACAGGAUUAGAUACCCCUGUAGUC